rnacentral:lncRNA from 10 species
GCACGUCAGGGGCGAGUCAGGAUUAGCACACAGGCCUCUGCCUUAAUUUGAGGCUUUUUUCACAAACCCACAAGGCCACCAUCAGGAACCUAAAUUCUGUUAAAGAAAAAUGUGUGAUAUGGUAGAAAGGCAUUGAAGGUUUUAUCUCAGUAAAGUAACAGCAGUAUCACAGCACAGAUUCAGGAUUGAGGCCUUCAACUUUUGCAUUUUGAGUCAGAAAAAUGUAGAAUGGAGCGGCCACACCUUAUUCAAACUUCCACUUUUCAAAAUGAGACUGAAUACACAAAUGGACAAUGGUAGAUUGUAUAUAAACAAUCUACCAGGAGCAUUGAGGGUACCCGUCAGUUCCCAGGAAACAGGGAGGCUCGCAUGCUUGAUAUUAACCACAUGAUAUAAACAACGGUAGACUGUAAUACUGACCCACAGUCUGCAGCCCAGGAGGAGAAACUGUGACCUCUGCAGCAAUCGGCCCCAAAUGCUCAGGACUUGAUCGGUGUCUUCCCGCUGCCCUCCUUUUAGCCACCGCUUUCAAUUUCGGACCCAUCAGAGAACGGUGCUCUCCUGACCCAUCACACAAGGGCCUGACUGUGGCGAGCCGGCCUACAGCUCCGCGUGCCUACAGCACCCCCUCGGCACCCCGGAGCUUCCCUCUUCUCCAUGAUGCCUCCUGCUCCCGUGCCCCCAGGAGCCUUCGCCACGCGGGCAGGACGGCGCCCAGGCCCUUGCAGAGCGGGCUUGGAGGGAACAGCCUCUGCCUGCGCUCACGGGGCCGGCGUUCAUUUAUUCCCACACAACCAUGUUUUAUCUUCUUUAUGACAGAUUAUUUUUCCCAGAACUAAAAGGAAAGCCGUUUUCAUUGUUAAUUUUCCUCUGCUUUCUCUGAAGAGGUGCUGCCAUGAAGCAAAAUAGCCAGGGGGGGCAGCAAGACCACCAGAGUCCCCACCGCAGUAAAGCAGCGGCCCAGGAGGCUGGGAACAGCAGCGGUCACCCGAGUUCCGAAUCGAAAUGGCCACGACACGGAGAAACUCUGUCCACAAACACGAUGCCCACUACUCACAAGAGGUGAGUCCGGAUACCACAAUGUAUCUACUUUUAUCAUAUGCACGGAAGGAGUUUGUUUUCCCUAAGCAGUGGACACUUCAGCUGGGCACAGCCGUGUGCACCAGCUACUUAUGAGGCUGAGGCGGGAGAAUCACUUGAGUUCGAGAGCAACCUGGGCAGCACAGGGAGACCACGAAGAGAGAAGGGAAACAGGAAGGGGAAGGGGAAGGAAAACAGGAUGUGGGGGGGGAGAAAAAGGGAAGGGAGGCCGGGCACGGUGGCUCAUGCCUGUAAUCCCAGCACUUUGGGAGGCCGAGGCAGGUGGAUCACUUGAGGUCAGGAGUUCGUGACCAGCCUGGCCAACGUGGUGAAACCCUGUCUCUACUAUAAAUACAAAAUAGCCGCGUGUGGUGGUGGGCAUCUGUAAUUUCAGCUACUCGGGAGGCUGAAGCAGGAGACGCUUGAACUUGGGAGGCAGAGAUUGCAGUGAGCUGAGAUUGCACCACUGCACUCCAGCCUGGAUGACAGAAAGGCCAUGUCUCAAAAAAAAAAAAAAGAAAGAAAAAGAAACAGGGAAGGGAAGGAAAAUCUGACGUCACAGUGAUCACAGCCACACUUACCAACUCCCAUUGGUUAAUGCUGUCAGAAUCACCAGCAUCUGUAACUCCUUUCCCUCCGGGGUGUCUUGUUUAUAUUUGAAAUGGAAUUCCAGUAGAUGGAAAUUAUAUCCUUUUCUAAAAGAGGCUGCUUAAGUGCAUUCUGAAGAGAGUAGUAGAUUGAAUUUCUCUGUUAUCUUAGAUGAUGAGUAUGAGCAUAAAAAAGAAAUGAAAAAUAACAAAAAGAAAUGCCAAACAGUCCAUUUUGUUAAUUAUAAUCUUUCUGCUAGGUACCAAAACACCCUCUGUAACUUCAAUUCUCCUUAUGUAUCACUGACCAUCAAAAGCACAAUAAUCAUUUCUCCUUGGUCCACAGUAAAAUAUUCCAAAGUAAAACAAAAAAAUCCUUUUUAGAAACCAGCUUCUCUCUCUCACUAAACACAGUCCACUUACACAAGUCCCUCCACAGAUGCCCCAUCUGAAGGCAGCGCUUCAUGGGGAGCCCCAUACGAUGGCUCCCUGACUCUGCGAUCUGGUCUGGAGAUGCAGUGGCCCUGACUCUGCGGUAGCACCGACUCUGAGUUCUGGUCUGGAGGUGCGGUGGCCCCGACCCUGCGGUCUGGUCUGGAGGUGCAGUGGCCCCGACUCUGUGAUCUGGUCUGGAGGUGCGGUGGCCCCAACCCUGCGGUCUGGUCUGGAGGUGCGGGUGCAGUGGCCCCGACUCUGAGGUCUGGUCUGGAGGUGCAGUGGGACGCACCAAGGCUCUGUGCCAAGUCCCCGCAGGCUCCUGCUCAGGACACAGUGCAGCUCAGCACAUUAAUGACAGCUCUCACAGCCUCGAGGAAACAAAUGUUUCCCUUUGUUAGCCCAAAGUUUCCUAAACACAUCUGACUUGGAGCUAGAUUUUCACAUCUCUGCUGUACCAAGGGAAGGCAGGAGCGGCUGCUCCAUAGGAAGCCAUGGUCCCCCGGGCCAGGACCGAGUAAUCGGUGUUGUUCCCCUCCACAAGGUCACCGGUUUGACUCCUGUGUAACAGUGGACUUGACUGUGUCUUAUGGACACAGACUGGAUUCUAAUCCCAUCAGCCCUUUCUCAUCACAAGUCAUCGCCUCCUGGUAAAAGGGGAGGGUGGGGAGAAGUGAACUUGUCAGUCUAGCGGUCUGUAAUUCUGUCAUCCCCACAAACCCAUCUCUAAUACUGGGGAAAAUGGACACCAAGUCCAGUUCCUGGUCCAUUCAAACUGGCCACGCACAUCACCGGGGGGUAAGGAUGGAGCAGGUGCAAUUCCAGUGUUCACAGCCCAAGGCUUCCCAGAGCAAUCUGCUGUAAUGGUAGAGUUUAAAUUAAAUUAUAUAUAAACACUCAAGAUGCAUACCUCUUUGUGUGAAUGCAUCAUUUGUUUUAUUUUUAAGAAAAGGGAAAAAAAACUGAAAAUCUGUCCCUGGGUGUGGUUACUAAGCCCUA